AAUGUAUCAAUAUUUUAACAAAAUUAGUUGUUAACACCAAACUACAUUAAAUGAUCAGCUGAUGCAUAGCUUUCAAAUUGACAGUGCUCACGUCAAACAUCCAUUAAAAUAAAUGGUGACAGCAAAUGAAUAAAAAUGAUUAAUCAUCUUUAUACUUACAUACUAAUGUACUCAUAAAAUUUGCUUAGCGAGAGUGAAUAGCCCUUGAAAGGUUAUUAACAUUUUAUUUAAAACGCGCAGUUAACAGAUGUUUUGCCAAAUCUUCAAAAAUUAAUAAAUUAAUAUAUUUUAACAAAUGUGAGUAAACCAAAAUAUUGUGACUUGAGUUGCAGGUGUUUGUGACAAUCGAAAUGCAAAAUAUGUACAUAUGUAUGCAUGUGUGUAUGCACAUGCAAAUCCACCAAAAGCUACAAAAAUGAAUAACAAAGUAUGAGUAAAAAUAAAUAACAGCUAAAAAUAAAUUCGAGAAGAGCACGAAAAGAAAAUAUAAUUGAGAAUUCUCAAUGCAUCAAUGCUUAUUUGCAUAGAGCACGCAAGCGAAUUUAUCGUUCGUUUGCCUAAAGAAUUGUAAAGAUUAAUACACACAUACUUAUGUAUGUAUAAACAAAAAAUCAAGGAAACAAAAAAAAAAGAUCUGAGGACGCCGUCACUGCGGCCACGGAUAUUUGGUCAAAAAGCGUGUUUCGUGUUACGGUGUAAUUAAAGUGAGAACAAUAAAGUGUUACACAAGUGUCGAGAAUAAUAAUAACAAUAAUGAAAAUAUUGUGCACAAACAACAACAAAUAAAUAAAGCACAUAUAAAAAUUUAUAUUACACGCGACGGCAUUGACGACGAGACAAAUAGAAUUUUGCUGCCAUUCAUUGCUCCCCGGCACGUAAUACUAUUCAGGCUAACCACACAAAAAAUUUCAUAUCCCGUCGUCGUCGUAGUCGUCAUCGGCGGCGACAUUCGACGUUCUCAUCGUUGCCAUCAGCAUACAAAAAAGAUCUCUGCAAUAACAGCCAAAUACUCGAUUAAUGUAUACAACAACAGAAGGGAGAACCGACCGACCGACCAGCCAGUCAACCAAACAACACACAACAACAGCACAACAACAUGACAGCAGCAGCCGUAAACAGUACAAACACACACGUAAUCACAUACAUACAUGCACAGUCAACGUUAUAAGAACGGUGUGGUAAAAAGGAAGUGACGAAAAAAGGACCAUUCUAAUAAAAACACUCUACUUAUGAAAUGCCUCAGUCACACAGGAGAAUAUUUGAUACUGAUAUUACUGAAGUCCUUGUGAACCCAUUCCUCGUACGAUAAUUAAAAUUGCCAAAGCACCGAUUUGUGCCAAAUGUCAACCCCUUUAUAUUUGCUAAGCGAAACAAAUUGAAUACUUCGCAUUUAGAUAUCAAAGCGACACUAAAACUCAAAAAGCUACUCAUUCGUCCGGAAUCAUGCCAGCAGUUGAGGCACUUUUUUUCGGCACUUUCGCAGACAGCACAUAACUCCGUUAUUUUUCAAUAUUUUUGUAAAAAAAAAAAUGUGAAUAUAGCUAAAAAUAUACU